rnacentral:SRP_RNA from 1 species
ACCAGGUGCGAUGACAUGCGCCUGUACUCCCAGCUACUCAGGAGGCUGAGGCAGGAGGAUCGCUUGAGCCCAGGAGUUCUGGGUUGUAGUGUGCUAUGCCGAUUGGGUGUCUGCACUAAGUUCAGCAUCAAUAUGGUGACCUCCCGGGAGUGGGGGACUACGAGGUUGCCUAAGGAGGGGUGAGCUGGACCAGGUAGGAAAUGGAGCAGGUCAAAACUCCAGUGCUGAUCAAUUACAGUUGACCUACAAUAUUAUAUUAGUUUCAGGUGUAUAACAUUGUGAUUACACAUUUAU